rnacentral:misc_RNA from 1 species
GACCGUGUUAUCAUACGCGAUAAAAUUGACGUACCUGUUAUCACUAGCGCUUCACGAUGUAAGCGGACAUUACAACGUGUUAGCUCGUACGAUAGUUAUAUGAAUAUAGUGUGUGUUACCGGUACACAAUUGAUAAUUGUACGUUCAUUCUCUUGGAAGGUGUACGAGUAGUGGAAUCAAUAUCAGAUUCGUUAGCAACAGACAAUGGGAUGCGGGGCCAACGUCGAUUGGAGCCGGGCCCACAAACAGCCGGUUAGAAACUGCGUAUUGCAAAAACGAGUAGAUAAUAUGGACAUGAUGCCGUAAGUGAAAGGGACUAAGAAUGAGCUGUUCCGUGGAAUUACGCCAGCGUAGACAACAGGGGAUGGCGGAGGAUCCUCAUAAACUCGCGGCGAUGAUGAACAAAUCUCAAAGACUCGUACUGGGACUUUUGGUUUUACUAUUAGUCGAUAUAAUUUGGGUCUCUAGUUCUGAGCUUACCAAAUAUAUUUACAGAGAAGCAACAUUUGAAAAGCCAUUUUUUAGUACAUAUAUAAGGACAUCUAUGUUUACCCUUUACUUAUUUGGUCUGUGCUUUUGGCCAUCCUGGCGAGAACAAUGUAAUAAACCUGCAACAUACAUGUUCAUAGAUCCCAAUGUCGAAGAUGAUAAUUUUUAUUCGGAGGCUAAUACAAGUCUAAGCGAUCCAACAUUUGUUCCAAUAAAAACUCCGGAUCAUUGUGAUCGCUCAUCAGGUACGGAGAGCGAUGAUUCGUCUAUUCGAUCUGUAAGAUUUAGCAAAUUAGCAGAAGUGCGUCAUAUGUCGGAAAGCGAUGCCACGGAAGCUCUAUUGGCUCGACUCAGUUAUCAAGCAAGCGUGAGAGCAGGAGAACACGCAAGGCGACAAGCUAACAAAUUCUCUGUACAAAAAGUGGCUAAAAUAGCCCUCAUGUUUUGUGUAUUUUGGUUCAUGGCGAAUUACACGUAUCAAAUAUCAUUAGAGCAAACUGAAGCUAGAAUCGUGACUAUAUUGUCCUCGAUGUCUAGUUUAUUCAUUUUAUUUCUUGCUGCCGUUUUCCCUAGUAAUGGAGGGGAUAAGUUUACAUUAUCUAAGUUAACCGCCGUAGUGAUUAGCAUCUUUGGACUAAUUUUAGUCGGUCUUUCAGAUUUGACUGUAGAAAGCAACAGCAUAUCAACAGGCGUAAUAUUAGCUCUAGUCAGUGCUUUCUUCUAUGCCGUAUAUAUCGUAUUUUUAAAAAGAAAAGUUGAUCACGAAGAUAAAAUGGAUAUACCAAUGUUUUUCGGCUUUGUGGGAAUAUUUACUUUAACGCUUCUGUGGCCUUUAUUUUUUAUUCUUCAUUAUGGUCGUUGGGAAGAGUUUGAAUGGCCCAGUAGUCAUCAAUGGACAUUCUUAAUUAUAAACGGCCUGAUUGGUACAGUUCUGAGUGAAGUUCUGUGGCUAUGGAAGCAUUCCAAUGCUUUUGGCAUUUCUGACGGUAUCUCUCCUGUCUUAUUACGAUAAUUGGGAUCCUGUUAUGGAUUUAAUGAAACGAUUUUACAUCUGGAUUUGUAAAAGAAAUGGCAGAUCUGCAAGGAUUCCAGAUCUUGAAGCAGAACAAACAGAAUCUUUGAUAGGAGUCGGUAGUGGCGAUCAUGAAGCAUAAUAAGACAAUAAUGAGAAAGGAUCGAAGAGAUAGUAAAAUGUCUUGCUUUACAUAAGUCAACAUAAUAAAAAAGAACUUAAUAAGUGGGGGAUACAUGCUAUAUGUAAGGGGUGGGUAAAAAAUAUUAAAUGAAGUAGUUUUUUUGUCCAUUUUCUAUAAGUGUCAUCAUCGAUGGCGAAUAUUUGUUUUUCUUUAAAAUAUUUGUUUCAAUGUCCAUUGUACAGAUGUGAGUGACGAUAGUCAAUGUUUCAUUUGUUUGUAUUUUUUAAUGCAUGUGUCUCGCUUUAUUUCACAUUAAAUAUCAUGAAAUAGUGUUACUGCCCGACAAAAAAUAUCUCUUUUUAAAACAAUAAUUAUCAUGAAUUAAUUUACAAACUAUAUUUUAUUUUUCAAGCUUAUUAUGCCUUUGAAACUUUGUUCUUAAAGAUUUAUUCCAUAAGUAAAUAUUGCUCUCGUAAAAGCUGUGUCAUCAAAAUCUGAUAUACAUAUAUUAUAACUAUUUCCAGAUUAUAUACUAUGAUUUUUGUUAUAUUCUAUUCUAUAAUUGGGUUUGAAGACAAAAUUCUUCAAUGUCUUCUCCGAAAUCUGUACAUAAUAUGUAUUAAGAGUUAAUUAAAAUCAAAGAAAUAUUUAUUUAUAAUGUUAAAGUUAUGCUAUUUCUAAUAGUAAUAUUUUUUAUGCUAUUAAGCUACAUUUUCUAACACAUUGAUAAUCAAUGAAUAAAUAAAUUAUUGAGGUUAUUUCAUUGCACGUUACAAGAAGCUUUCGAGAUGUAUCUAGUACAUUCUGUACUUAUCUUUAGUAUUUGUCACAUUUUAGAUAAAAUAUUACAAACUAUUUAAAACAUAGUUUUAAUAAGCAAAAAUGACAGAAAAAGAGAGAUGCUAACAUUUUGGACCAAUUAAAAGGUGAUAAUAAAUCAUCACCGGAAAUCAUCCAUAAUACGCGAAGAAUAAGAAAUUGAUAUGAGAUCAAAAUUCAAAUUUCAAUGAUAUGAAUAUUACGUCCUAAGCAUGUAAUUAAAAUAUUAGCUUACAUUCCGCUAUGAUUCCAUGAGUUAUUUCGAUUACAAAAAUUCUAUUGCAAAAUUACAUUCGUUUUUCUUCUACUUCUGAUAAUUUUGUUCUAUCCGCUGAUAAUUAAUGCGCACAAGUUUCACUAUAUUGUGUUCAAAUAUCAACAAAACUAUUAUGUUUAUAUAAAAUAGAAAUAUAUAGAAAUAUAUUAAAUGUGAGAACUGUGUAAACUGUGAAAUAAACCAUCGAUUUAUGGUUAAAUCAGCGUAGUAAACGUAGUAAAUCUUGAAUAAGAUGUUAAUUAUUUAAACAGAUGGACAUGUAACAUGUAAAGAGAAAUGAAAUAUGGUAUCUUUAUGGUAUCUUUAGCAACAGUUUAUUCAUGCCUCUCGUUUCUAUUUAUACAUAAAAUUGCGAUAUUCGUGUUAAACCUUUAAAAAAUUCGUGUAUCUUAAUCUCAUCAAAAUUAAAUAUAAACAAAAUAACCUUAACAGAAUCAACGUUAUUGCAUCUAUUGCAAAUCUAUUUCCUAAUUCUAAAUGUAUUUCGUAAGGAGCAUAUGUAACAAAUUAUUGUAAAAAUUAUUCUAGUUGCAUAGUGUUAAUGAUAGGAUGAAGAAAUGUUAAAAAGAAAGAUACAAGUAUCUUUGAAAAACAAAGGCAAAGAUCGAGACUAAUCAGUAGCAAUGUUAUAUUAACUAUAUAUGUGAUAUAACAAAUAGAAUGCGCGAGUAUAUUUUUAGGGUAAUAUAACGUAAUCCACUACAGAAAUAUCGCGCGCACGCGAUAUAUGAUAAUUAAUCUCUUGUUUAAUGUUAUAAUCAGACUUGAGAUUCAAUGUAUAUAUUACUUUACAUCGUGCAUGUAGGAAGAUUCCGCUUUUGACCAGGUCGAAUCUAAAGAUGUCCUUAUAAUAUUCGUAUAAAUUCGUAUAAAAUGUUUCGACGUAAGUUUAUAUACACGAAAUCUUCAAAAUGACACAGUCGGCAAUCUUUUCACAAAAGAGACUGGUUAUAACCAUAUUCGUGCUGUAUAUUCAAUGUAAAUAAAUUAUUAUGUUCUAAAAU